rnacentral:rRNA from 1 species
CAGUCGAGCGGCAGCACAGAAGAGCUUGCUCCUUGAGUGGCGAGUGGCGGAUGGGUGAGGAAUGCAUCGCAUGCUACUUUUUCGGGGGGGAUUUCGGGAAGAAACUUACGCUAAUACCGCAUACUACCUACCGGUGAAAGCAAGGGACAUUCAGGCCUUGCGCUAUUGAAUGAGCCGAUGUCCGAUUAGCUAUUUGGCGGGGUAAAGGCCCACCCUCGCCACGAUCCGUAUCUGGUCUGAAAGGAUGAUGGUCCUCACUGGAACUGAGACUGAGACCAGACCCCUACUGGAGGCGGCAGUGGGGAAUAUUGGACUAUGGGCGCGGACCUGAUCCUGACAUACCGCGUGGGUGAAAAAGGCCUUCGGGUUGUAAUCCCCUUUUGUUGGGAAAGAAAUCCAACUGGCUAAUACCCGGUUGGGAUGACCUUGCCCGUAGAAUAACCAACGGCCAACUUCGUGCCAGUGCCCGCGGUAAUACUAAUGGUGCAGUCGUUACUCUUAAUUACAGGGCGUAAAGCGUGCGUACGUGGUCGUUUAUCUCCGUUGUGAAAGCCCUGGGCUCAACCUGGGAACUGCAGUGGAUACUGAGCGACUAGAGUGUGGUGAGGGUAGCGAGAUUCCUGGUGUAGUGUGAAGUGCGUAGAGAUCAGAGGAACAUCACUGGCGUGGCAACUACCUGGACUAGUCUGACACUGAGCACGACGCGUAGGAGCGGAGCGAUUAGAUACCCAUGCUCGUGCUCGCCCUACCGAUGCGACUGUAUGUAGUGUGCAAUUGGGUACGCACUAUCAAAGCUGAAGCGUCACGUUCAGC